rnacentral:rRNA from 1 species
UACGGGGGGGGCAAGCGUUGUUCGGAAUUACUGGGCGUAAAGGGCUCGUAGGUGGCCAACUAAGUCAGACGUGAAAUCCCUCGGCUUAACCGGGGAACUGCGUCUGAUACUGGAUGGCUUGAGUUCGGGAGAGGGAUGCGGAAUUCCAGGUGUAGCGGUGAAAUACGUAGAUAUCUGGAGGAACACCGGUGGCGAAGGCGGCAUCCUGGACCGAUACUGACACUGAGGAGCGAAAGCCAGGGGAGCAAAGCGGG